GGAUGAUCUACUACAAUAACUGUGACUCAUUGAUCAUUAAGGAUUUCUUCUGCUAGAUAGGUUGGUAUCCUUUUCCUCUUUCACCGCUCCAUGUACAAAACUCUUAAAGCUGUGCUUGGUAGAUUUCAAGACUUUACUUUGUUUUAAAUUAUGUGUAUAUGUGUGUGUAUGAAGGUACCUGCACGUGGGCUCAGAUGCCUUUAGAGACGAUAAGAGGGCAUCAGAUCCCCUGGAAUGGGAGUUAUAGGGGUUGUGAGCCAGCAGCCCAGUGUGGGUGCUGUACACAAACUUGGGUACUCUGCACUAUUCACCACUGAGCCAUCUCUCCAACCUCAGGAGGAUCAUUCUAGAAUUAAGGGUAUUCAAGGAGCUGUGCUCUCUUGCUAGAACCUGCAAACAAGCUCUCACUGUAGCCUUGUGAGAGACUUUGAACCUGGGAGCCCAGCUAACCCAAUCCCAGUUUUCUACAAAAGCCUGGGAUAAUAAGAGUAUAAGUUCUAGGGCUAUCUGU
rnacentral:snRNA from 1 species